AAAAAAAGGCAAGUCUUAGUGGAUGGAGUCCGCUUUGGCCCAGGCCAGCCUUACAGAGCGCUCCAGACCUAAACGAAAGCCAGCUGGAGACCCAAGUUAAAGGUCUAUGGAGUCACCAUCUGACUGUGCUGGGGGGAGCCAUAGCAGAGGACUGACUGUAAGAGAAUAAUCUAAAAUGACGGAAAGAGGAGCAUGACACUUGCUUGCUAAGAAUGUCGGAUGUGUAUUUUUAGAAUAUGAAGUGAAUUUGAAUCAAGAAGAAAGCAACUUCGAAAGAUGGAGAUGGAAAGAGUCUACUCCAGACAUGCAAGAUUCAACAAUCAACAGUUGGAUAUUCUACUAGAAGUUGAAGAUUACAAACAAUAAAUGAAUCAGUUCCUGACCUCAAGGAGUUUAUAUUCUACUGGAGAUAAAAAGUAAAUGCAAAUGAUAUACAAAGUAGAUACAAAUUAAUUACAGGGAAAUCACCAAUAAAUUGGGGAAUUAGAAGAGGUCAUAUGUAGAAAGUGGGACUUGAGUUGAUCCUUGAAGCAAGUCAACAAUUCUAAAAGGCUGAAAUGAGAAGGAAAUUCAUUCUAGGCAUUGGGAGAUGAUAUGUUGUAUACAGGGAUCAGAAAGUAGGCCAGUUUGGCUGGAACCCAGAAGAGUUUGAAUUUCAUCCUAGGGCUAGUAAAUAGAAACUAAAACUUUUUGAGCAUGAUUAAAGUACUCCAAGUAGGUAUAGGGGUAUGGAGAAAAGCCCCUUACAAGCUUUGAUAGAAAGAGUUAGGAAAUGGUUAAACUGACAGCAGAGACAGUGACCUUGCCAAUGACUUGGCAUUAUCUCAGUUUUUGUCCUUCACCUACUCAUCAACACAUGAGAACAGAAGAGAUUUAAGAGUUUACAAACUGGGAAAUCCUGAACCUCCAAAGCUCUGUGGUAAUUAUUAAGCAGAUAAUCAUUACCUGGUUUAUAGCUCAGCUUUAAGAGAAGUAAAGUGAGAAGUCUAUGGAAUAGAUACCUUAUUCUAGGAAGAAAUCUCUGACCCAGAGACUAUAUCUGUAUGUAUUGGUAUAUGUAGGUAUAUACGUAUAUAUGUAUGUAUGUGUGUGUAUGUAUGUAUCUCUGUGUUUUUUUAUAUGUGUGUGUAUCUCAGAACCCUAAGACCAAUAGAAAAUUUUGCCCCACACUUUUACAUAGACUAGAAAUGCAAAUUAGUUAUGAUAAAGACAUUUUGGUGUACGUGUGUGGAGUUUAAGUACACAUUGUUAUCAUGCUAUUGCCUUUAAAAUGAUGUCAGACUCUGAAUGGAACGAAGUGCGAUUGCUAGUGCCUUUUGCUACUUCCUGCACGGUGUUUUCUUGAUUUUAUUUUAUUCAAUCUUUCCUCCCUUCUCCCCCCUCUAACACACACACACACACAUUGGACUUAUUGAUCCUUAUUGACUCAUUUUCUGCCUAACCUCUUGACUAGUGAACUCAGAUUCAAAAAACUGCUUAAUCUCAGCCUUUCACAAAAUUGACAGAUUUGGUUUUGACACGGAUUCAAAACCCCAACAAAUUUAAAGCUGAACUCUGCACUCCUCCCCACAAACAGUUAAGUAAAAUAUGCUGACGUCUACACAGAAUUACAUUUAAUAGUUCUGACAUGGGUUUGAACUAUGCACCUCUCUUCUCCAGGUGUGUUUCCUUCCUCAGGACCCUGCUAAUUGACCUGAAUCACUAGUGUACACAGACCCCAUUCUCUUAUCUCAGUGGGCGGCCUCAAGAGAACCCAAGAAAAGCUUAGAAACUAAGAAAGGAAAAAUUUUAAAAGUGUGUCUGAUUCACAAAAAUUACUUUACUUUUCAUAAAAUAAUGGGAACAACUAGCAUUUAUAUACCAUGUAAAAGUUUGCAAGGUGUCUUACAGAUAUUAUCUUAUUUUCUACUCACAAUAAACCUAGGAAGCAGUGACUUCUGUGAGUGUUUUGUCCAGGAUUCCUUAGCUGGUAAGUGUUUGAGGCAGGAUGCAAGCCCAAGUCUUCCUUAGUCUGAGACCAGUACUCUAUCAUUUACACACUCAUAGGUAUGUAUGCAUGUAUGUAUAUAUGCACGCAUGUA